GCCGGUGUGUCGGAAUGGCAGACGAGGGGGACUCAAAAUCCCUUGGUGGCAACAUCGUGUGGGUUCGACCCCCACCACCGGCA
rnacentral:tRNA from 2 species